rnacentral:Y_RNA from 1 species
GGCUGGUCAGAAGGUAGGGAGUUAGCUCACUAUUCACAGUCAAGUUACAGAUUGAACUCCUUGUUCCACUACUUUCUCCCCUUCUCACUACUGCACUUGACUCGUCUAUA